rnacentral:rRNA from 1 species
GAUCAUGGCUCAGGAUAAACGCUGGCGGCGCACAUAAGACAUGCAAGUCGAACGAACUUAACCAUUAGUUUACUAUUGGAGCGGUUAGUGGCGGACUGGUGAGUAACAAGUAAGCAACCUGCCUAUCAGAGGGGAACAACAGUUAGAAAUGACUGCUAAUACCGCAUAUGCCUUGAGUAUCACAUGGUACAAAAGGGAAAGGAGCAAUCCGCUGAUAGAUGGGCUUGCGU